GCGCCUAACACAUGCAAGUCGAGCGAGAAAUUUUCUAGCUUGCUAGAAAAUGGAAAGCGGCGAACGGGUGAGGAAUAUGUUGACAUCUGCCCCCAAGUCAGGGAUAGCCCAGGGAAACCUGGAUUAAUACCGGAUAGUCUCUACGGAGUAAAAAUUUAUUGCUUGGGGAGGAGUCUUCAUUCUAUCAGCUUGUUGGUGAGGUAAUAGCUCACCAAGGCUAUGACGGAUAACUGGUCUGAGAGGAUGAUCAGUCACAAUGGAACUGAGACACGGUCCAUACUCCUACGGGAGGCAGCAGUGAGGAAUCUUCCACAAUGGACGAAAGUCUGAUGGAGCGACACCGCGUGAAGGAUGAAGGUCUAACGAUUGUAAACUUCUUUUCUGAAGGAGCAUAAUGAGAGUACUUCAGGAAUAAGGGACGGCUAAAUACGUGCCAGCAGCCGCGGUAAUACGUAUGUCCCAAGCGUUACCCGGAAUCACUGGGUGUAAAGGGUUCGUAGGUGGGGAAAUAAGUUGGAUAUGAAAGACCGAAGCUCAACUUCGUGUUUGUCUCCAAAACUGUUUUCCUAGAAUCAGGGAGAGGUAAGCGGAAUUCUAAGUGUAGGGGUGCAAUCCGUAGAUACUUAGAAGAACACCAAAAGCGAAGGCAGCUUACUGGAACUGUAUUGACACUGAGGAACGAAAGCGUGGGUAGCGAAAAGGAUUAGAUACCCUUGUAGUCCACGCCCUAAACGAUGAUAACUAAGUGUUGGGCAUUUGCUCAGUGCUGAAGCUAACGCGUUAAGUUAUCCACCUGAGGAGUAC
rnacentral:rRNA from 1 species